rnacentral:tRNA from 1 species
GGGGGUGUAGCUCAGUUGGGAGAGCGUUUCGCUGGCAGUGAAAAGGUCGCAGGUUCGAUCCCUGUCAUCUCCACCA